rnacentral:misc_RNA from 1 species
AUUUUAGACAACUUUUGUUAGUGCGCACCGAAAAGCAUGGGCCAGACGACGGUGUUUUGCGCGCAUGCAAAUUUUGGGACCCGGAGGUUAUAUAUGGGAGUGGGAUGAGUCGAGAGCAAAAAGAGACAAGAAGAGAAUUUGCAAGAGGCUUCGGCCGCUUAUGAAUUCUUGGGCUGAAUCUUUAGGCUGGAGGCUGUUAUAUAGGUAAGUUUGGCGAGGGACUGUUGCUGGUCCAGGGCGCCUUUGGGUAAAGUCAUUAGGGAGAGAAAUAGGGCCUGGGUUCUCCAGUUCCCGAAAGCUCUCCCUAAGAUUUUGUCACUUUCCCUCACUCCCCCAGCGUACUCUAGGGUGCGCACUGCAGUAGAACCUCUGGUGCUGCUGCAUGGCCUCGCGAUUUAUCGCCCAAGUCUCGGGAUGACAACGUCUCCCCGAGCAAGGAAAGAAACAGUGGAUUACUAGGCAAUGCCAAAGAAAUCCCAAAACCUCAAGAUCACUCCGAUCUUUUUUAUUACUACGAGUCAGUGGACAACCCCAAAAAAAUAACUUCUUC